UACGGAGGGUGCAAGCGUUAAUCGGAAUUACUGGGCGUAAAGCGCGUGUAGGCGGUUGUUCAAGUCUGGUGUGAAAGCCUUGAGCUCAACUCAAGAAAUGCACUCGAUACUGGAUGACUUGAGGACCGGAGAGGAUAGUGGAAUUCCCAGUGUAGUGGUGAAAUACGUAGAGAUUGGGAAGAACACCAGUGGCGAAGGCGGCUAUCUGGACGGUUUCUGACGCUAAGACGCGAAAGCGUGGGGAGCAAACAGG
rnacentral:rRNA from 1 species